AUGGUGCUGGUAUUGGCCCUGGGGGAUAUGCACAUACCCCACAGGGCGCCUGAUAUUCCUGCAAAGUUUAAGUCCAUGCUUGUCCCUGGAAAGAUCCAGCACAUCAUAUGUACUGGAAACUUGUGUAUUAAAGAAGUCCAUGACUACCUAAAGACUCUUUGUCCCGACUUGCAUAUAACUCGUGGUGAGUAUGAUGAAGAUUCAAGAUAUCCAGAGACCAAAACACUAACCAUUGGCCAAUUCAAGUUGGGACUAUGCCAUGGUCAUCAGGUUAUUCCAUGGGGAGACCUGGACUCACUGGCGAUGUUACAGAGACAGCUUGACGUAGACAUCCUUGUCACAGGUCACACCCAUCAGUUUACCGCAUACAAACACGAGGGCGGCGUGGUUAUAAAUCCAGGUUCUGCAUCUGGUGCCUACAGCAGCAUCACCUAUGACGUGAACCCA